UACGGGGGGGGCAAGCGUUGUUCGGAAUUACUGGGCGUAAAGGGCUCGUAGGCGGCCAACUAAGUCAGACGUGAAAUCCCUCGGCUUAACCGGGGAACUGCGUCUGAUACUGGAUGGCUUGAGUUUGGGAGAGGGAUGCGGAAUUCCAGGUGUAGCGGUGAAAUGCGUAGAUAUCUGGAGGAACACCGGUGGCGAAGGCGGCAUCCUGGACCACAACUGACGCUGAGGAGCGAAAGCCAGGGGAGCAAACGGG
rnacentral:rRNA from 1 species